UAAACUUGAGCGGCUACAAAAUUUCUGC
rnacentral:sRNA from 1 species